UCAGAAAAAACCAAACUCAUCGUGAGGUGAGGACGGAAAGCCACGGGUCUUAUACCAGAACAUAAGAUAGCCGGGUUGCCUGAA
rnacentral:ncRNA from 1 species